ACCUAGGCCUGGGGACCUGCUCUUUUUUUUUUUUUUUUAAACAUGAAUUUUCUCUUAACGCCAUUAGAUUAAAAAAUAGCCUGGAGUUUUGCUACUCAGAGUCUAUGAGCCAGCAGCAUCAACAUCACUUGGGAGAUUUUUCACUCCCAAACCUACUGAAACAAUCUGCGUUUUAACAAGAUCUCCAGGUGCAGCCAUCCAUCUGGCUAAUACGAGGACAAGCUGUUAAUUUGUGAAUGAAGAAAAGGUCUGCAGACAACAAACAAACGAGCAAGGAGCUUCAGAAGAUAACAUUUACCUCAAUCCUUGAGAAACAAGGGAGUCCAGAUGACACAGUCAAUACAAAUCAGACUCCUGAGACACAAAGCAGGAUGCAGAAGACUGGAGACUGGACCUGGAGGGACACACCAAGAACAUCGAGCAUGUAAUGAAAGUUUCUUGGGUUUCCCUUGUGGCUCAGUGGUAAAGAAUCCACCUGCCAGUGCUGGAGACACAGGCCCAGCCCUUGAUCUGGGAAGAUCCCACAUGCCCCAGGAUAACUCAGACCGGGCGCCACAACUACUGAGCCUGCGCACUAGAGCCCGAGAGCCACAACUACCAAAGCCACGUGACACCAGAGCCUGUGCUCUUCAAGGAGAGAAACCUCCACGGUGAGAAGCCUGUGCAGCACAAGGAAGAGUGGCCCCCGCUUGCUGCAACUACAGAAGUGUGUGCAGCAACAGAGACCCAGCACGGCCAAAAAUAAAUAAACUGAUUUUUUAAAAAAAGAAUGAAAGCUUCUCGAAAGUUGAGACCGUUGAGCUCAGGGCUGUGUCUCUGACAUCUAUUUUAGUACAUGGUGUAUAGUUGGUGCCAUCUAAUAUCAAAUAUGGUUAAAUGACUAAGUGGGUAAAUGAAUAAAUCAGUUGUUCUUAAGAAGUAUAUUGUCUAGCAUGUAGCAAAAAUAACUCAGAAAUCUUCCAUUUUAAGUAAUAUUUUAUUGAAUUCUUAUCUGAUACUUUGCUAAGAAUUUUACCAGUCUUGCUGCCAAUGAGAGAUGUUUUGGUUUAUAGACAAGAAGAGGGAUAUGCAUAUUUAUAUAAAAUAAAUAUAUGCAUGCAUAUAUUACAUGGGAAUGUGCCUGUGCCUAUAUAUAUAUAUAUAUGAAUGCUAUUUGUGUAGGAAUACAUGUAUAUGUGUGUAUGUGUUCAUUAGUGUGUUUGUGUAUAAAAUUUUUUUGGCCAGAAAGGAGAUAGCUUUCCGUUCAAUGUCUCAUUGGAAGAAUAUUCAUCUUCUGUCCUAGGAAGCAGUGCCAGAGACAGGACAUGGAAAGAGGUGUCAGCGGGAACCUUCCACAGUGCUGACA
ensembl:lncRNA